GGCACUUUGGCGGAGUGGUUAACGCGUUGGCCUGCUACCAAUGCUCAGUCGAGCGGAGGUGAGCCAAUUCCUUCGGGAGCGUGUGUUCGAAUCACACAGGUGUCG
rnacentral:tRNA from 1 species